rnacentral:rRNA from 1 species
UACGUAGGGGGCAAGCGUUGUCCGGAUUUAUUGGGCGUAAAGAGCGUGUAGGCGGCCACACAGGUCUGCUGUGAAAACUCGAGGCUCAACCUCGAGCUGUCGGUGGAAACCGUGUGGCUAGAGUGUGUCAGAGGGAGGUGGAAUUCCGCGUGUAGCAGUGAAAUGCGUAGAUAUGCGGAGGAACACCGAUGGCGAAGGCAGCCUCCUGGGAUAACACUGACGCUCAGGCACGAAAGCGUGGGGAGCAAACAGG